rnacentral:rRNA from 1 species
GGUUAAGUGACUAAGCGUACACGGUGGAUGCCUUGGCAGUCAGAGGCGAUGAAGGACGUAGUAACUUGCGAUAAGCGUAGAUGAGGCAGUAACAGCCACUUGAGUCUACGAUUUCCGAAUGGGGAAACCCACUGGCAUAAGCCAGUAUCAUUGAGUGAAUACAUAGCUCAAUGAAGCGAACCGGGAGAACUGAAACAUCUAAGUACCCCGAGGAAAAGAAAUCAACCGAGAUUCCGAAAGUAGCGGCGAGCGAAAUUGGAUUAGCCCUUAAGCUUUACAUGUGUUAGACGAACGGUCUGGAAAGUCCGACGAUACAGGGUGAUAGUCCCGUAGUUGUAGAUGCAUGUUCAGUGAAAUCGAGUAGGGCGGGACACGUGUUAUCCUGUCUGAAUAUGGGGGGACCAUCCUCCAAGGCUAAAUACUCCUGACUGACCGAUAGUGAACCAGUACCGUGAGGGAAAGGCGAAAAGAACCCCUGUGAGGGGAGUGAAAUAGAACCUGAAACCGUGUACGUACAAGCAGUAGGAGCACCUUCGUGGUGUGACUGCGUACCUUUUGUAUAAUGGGUCAGCGACUUAUAUUCAGUGGCAAGGUUAACCAUCUAGGGGAGCCGUAGGGAAACCGAGUCUUAACUGGGCGCCAUAGUCUCUGGAUAUAGACCCGAAACCGAGUGAUCUAGCCAUGGGCAGGUUGAAGGUUGAGUAACAUCAACUGGAGGACCGAACCGACUAAUGUUGAAAAAUUAGCGGAUGACUUGUGGCUAGGGGUGAAAGGCCAAUCAAACUCGGAGAUAGCUGGUUCUCCCCGAAAGCUAUUUAGGUAGCGCCUCGGACGAAUACUACUGGGGGUAGAGCACUGUUAAGGCUAGGGGGUCAUCCCGACUUACCAACCCUUUGCAAACUCCGAAUACCAGUAAGUACUAUCCGGGAGACACACGGCGGGUGCUAACGUCCGUCGUGGAGAGGGAAACAACCCAGACCGCCAGCUAAGGUCCCAAAUUACAGCUAAGUGGGAAACGAUGUGGGAAGGCUUAGACAGCUAGGAUGUUGGCUUAGAAGCAGCCAUCAUUUAAAGAAAGCGUAAUAGCUCACUAGUCGAGUCGGCCUGCGCGGAAGAUGUAACGGGGCUAAGUUGUAAACCGAAGCUGCGGCAAUGUUCUAUGAACAUUGGGUAGGGGAGCGUUCUGUAAGCCGUUGAAGGUGUGUUGUAAAGCAUGCUGGAGGUAUCAGAAGUGCGAAUGCUGACAUGAGUAACGACAAGGGGGGUGAAAAACCUCCCCGCCGGAAGACCAAGGGUUCCUGUCCAACGUUAAUCGGGGCAGGGUAAGUCGACCCCUAAGGCGAGGCUGAAAAGCGUAGUCGAUGGGAAACGGGUUAAUAUUCCCGUACUUCUUACAAUUGCGAUGGGGGGACGGAGAAGGCUAGGUGGGCCUGGCGACGGUUGUCCAGGUUCAAGUGCGUAGGCU